CUCGGCACCAGCUCUGUGCCCAGGAUCGGCCAACUUUUCUGGGCCGCCAGAUAUCCCGCUUUCCUCUGGUGCUCCUGAGCUAUUGGAUGGAUUGCUCUGAAAAACAGAUAUUCAUGGUUCCCAGAGGAUACAUCUUAAUGACAAUGACUUUUCCUCUAUCACCACAACGCCACCUUGAAGUUGACAGUUAUGGUUUUCAGGCAACUAAUGGACAGAUUUCUGUGAAAUUUUCUACAGAUAAUCAAGAUCAC